GAUGAACGCUGGCGGCGUGCUUAACACAUGCAAGUCGAACGGAAAGGCUCCAGCUUGCUGGUGUACUCGAGUGGCGAACGGGUGAGUAACAAGUGGGUGAUAUGCCCUGCACUUCGGGAUAAGCCUGGGAAACUGGGUCUAAUAACGGAUAGGACCGCCCGCUGGAGUGUGUGGUGGAAAGGUUUUGCUGGUGUGGGAUGAGCUCGCGGCCUAUCAGGUUGUUGGUGGGGUAAUGGCCUACCAAGACGGCGACGGGUAGCCGGCGUGAGAGGGUGGCCGGUCACAUUGAGACUGAGAUACGGCCCAGACUCCUACGGGUGGCAGAAGUGGGGAAGAUUGCACAAGGGGGGAAGCCCUGAUGCAGCUACGCCGCGUGGGGGAGGAAGGCCUUCUGGUUGGAAACGCCUUUCGCUAGGGACGAAGCUUUUUGUGACGGUACCUGGAGAAGAAGCACCGGCUAACUACGUG
rnacentral:rRNA from 1 species